CUUCAUUCUUUUAUUGUCUGCAAUUUUCAUCUUCUGGUGGCUUUUUAUUUGCCCUUACUUUGUUCUUAAUUCUCUUCUUUUUUUCUUUUUUCCUUGCUUCUCACAUGGAUUAGAAGAAAAGUAACAAUAUGAAACUGAAAAUUUAUGGUAAGGGUGGGUUGAAAAAAUCUGGUUGUACCCAGUUUCAGGACAGCUUAGAGUCUGGCAAAUCAUCUUCUCAUUUGGAGUCUUUGGCUUCAAAAAGUUUUGAAAAAGAUUCCUGUACUAAAAAAAAUAGCUACAAUGCUUUUGUGCAGAAAGUUAAGCCUUUUAAAAAGUGUUCAGGAAAUAAAUCUGAAGAGCUUUCUAUUAUUGCAUUAAACUAUGAUACUCAACAAACUGUAAAAGAAGCAUUUAAAGUAACAAAAAAGAAAAAUAUUGACAAAAUAAAUUCUGGGCCAACUCAGCAAGAAGUGCUGUGCAGCCAUUCUAGUAACGAUCAGCUGGAAAAACAACAUGAAGAUCAUCAGAAUAAUAAAGUAGAAGCUAAACCUGAUCAAUAUAUUAUGCAAGGUAAUAACAAUAGUGAAAAACAAAAAGAAUAUAAUCACAAAGAAAGAAUUACAGAACAAUUAGUAGUAAGAAUGCCAUCUUUCUUAAGUCAGGAAAUGAUAAAGAAGACAAACCAAUUUAAUUUUGAAAAUGUGACAACUACUGAAACACGUAUAGAAGACAGAAAUAAUAAAUGGAAAAGCAAUCAAGCUGAUUAUAAAGAAAAGAGAAAUUUAAAUGUUAACAAUAUGCAAAAUGAAAAGAAAAAUAUGGAUGAUACAUCAGAGAAGGAUACCCCGGAAGAAAAUCCAGAAAAUGACCAAGGUAAUGAAGAAGAUGAAGUAAGUGUGGAAGAGACUGAAAGAGAAGAUGGCGCACAAGAAAAAGACAGUGACAGCGAAGAAAAAUCUGAAGAACAGGAAGUUGAAAAUGAAGCAGGUGAAUGCAUGGUGGAUGUUAUGAUAGACAUCAAAUGCGAUGAAGGAGAAAGCGAAAAUGAUGAAUUACAACCUGAAACAGAAAAUGAGCAGAAUCUGGAGGAAGAGGAUAACUUUCAGAUAAGACAAAAGAAAGAUGACUCAGAUAAUAAACUGCAAGAGUUAGAGGAAAGAGAGAUAUAUAAGCCAGAAAAGGGAAAAAAACCUAACAUCAAGAAUGACCAAAUUAAGGACAAAAUAGAGAAGGAAAAGGAUAAUGAAGAUGUGGGAGAUGAGAAAGAAAAUAGAAAAGAGGGAGAAGUAGAAAAGGACAAUGAGCAAAAUUAUGAGGAAUUUGAAGAUGGAGAGGAAAGUGGUGAAGCUAUGGUGAUGAAGAACAGCACAAAGGAAGAGGAACUUGAAGAACAGGAUCAGGAAGAGACUGAAAGAGAGGAAGAAGGACAAGAAAAGCAAGAGGGAGAAAUUGAAAGAGAAGUAGAUGAAGGAAGUGUGGGAUGCGGAGAAGAGAAAGAAGAUGAGGAAGAAGGAGACAAUGAAGGGAAAGAAGAACAAAGUGAGAAGGAGGGGGAGGAGGAGAAAGAAGAAGAAGAAGAAGAAGAAGAAGAAGAAGAAGAAGAAGAAGAANNNNNNNNNNAAGAAGAAGAAGAAGAAGAAGAAGAAGAAGAAGAAGAAGAAGAAGAAAAUGAAGGUGAGGAGGAGGAGAAAGAAGAAGAGGAGAAAGAAGAAGAGGACAAGAAUGAGGAGUUGGAGGACAAAGAGGAGGAGGAGGAGGAGGAAGAGAAAAAAGAGGAGGAGGAAGAAGAAGAAGAGGAGGAGGAAGAAGAGAACAGGAAUGAGGAGUUGGAAGACAAAGAAGAGGAGGAGGAGGAAAAAGAAGAGGAGAAAGAAAUUGUUGAGUGUGAAAAGGAAGAAAAAGUAGGCAAAAGCCCCAAGGAUCAAAAACAUAAAGAAAAUAAUAAAAGGAAAAAUCAAAAUACAAGCAGCAAAAUAAAAAACAUUAAAGAAAAAAGACCACUGAAACAAGCCGUGAAUGGAUUUCAAAACAUACACGAGUUUUGGAACAAUGUAUUACCACAUUACUUGACGCUAAAGUAAUCCUGGAGACUAGAAAUAAUUUUUCAGAAAGCUAUAGUCUGUAUACAAUACCUACUUUAAUGAGUCUGUGUGUUCACUGUGUGACACACCCACAGACACCCAC
ensembl:lncRNA